rnacentral:rRNA from 1 species
AACGAACGCUGGCGGCAGGCCUAACACAUGCAAGUCGAGCGAGGACUUCGGUUCUAGCGGCGGACGGGUGAGUAACGCGUGGGAAUGUGCCCUUCUCUACGGAAUAGCCCUGGGAAACUGGGAGUAAUACCGUAUACGCCCUAUUGGGGAAAGAUUUAUCGGAGAAGGAUCAGCCCGCGUUGGAUUAGGUAGUUGGUGGGGUAAUGGCCUACCAAGCCGACGAUCCAUAGCUGGUUUGAGAGGAUGAUCAGCCACACUGGGACUGAGACACGGCCCAGACUCCUACGGGAGGCAGCAGUGGGGAAUCUUAGACAAUGGGGGCAACCCUGAUCUAGUCAUGCCGCGUGAGUGAUGAAGGCCUUAGGGUUGUAAAGCUCUUUCAGCUGGGAAGAUAAUGACGGUACCAGCAGAAGAAGCCCCGGCUAACUCCGUG